rnacentral:rRNA from 1 species
UACGAAGGGAGCUAGCGUUGUUCGGAAUCACUGGGCGUAAAGCGCACGUAGGCGGAUGUGUCAGUCAGGGGUGAAAUCCCGGAGCUCAACUUCGGAACUGCCUUUGAUACAGCACAUCUGGAGUCCGGAAGAGGUGGGUGGAAUUCCCAGUGUAGCGGUGAAAUGCGUAGAUAUUGGGAGGAACACCAGUGGCGAAGGCGGCUCACUGGACCGGAACUGACGCUGAGGCGCGAAAGCGUGGGGAGCAAACAGG